rnacentral:rRNA from 1 species
GACGAACGCUGGCGGCGUGCCUAAUACAUGCAAGUUGAGCGCUGAAGGUUGGUGCUUGUACCAACUGGAUGAGCAGCGAACGGGUGAGUAACGCGUGGGGAAUCUGCCUUUGAGCGGGGGACAACAUUUGGAAACGAAUGCUAAUACCGCAUAAAAACUUUAAACACAAGUUUUAAGUUUGAAAGAUGCAAUUGCAUCACUCAAAGAUGAUCCCGCGUUGUAUUAGCUAGUUGGUGAGGUAAAGGCUCACCAAGGCGAUGAUACAUAGCCGACCUGAGAGGGUGAUCGGCCACAUUGGGACUGAGACACGGCCCAAACUCCUACGGGAGGCAGCAGUAGGGAAUCGUCGGCAAUGGACGAAAGUCUGACCGAGCAACGCCGCGUGAGGGAAGAAGGGUGUCGGAUCGUAAAACUCUGUUGGUAGAGAAGAACGUUGGUGAGAGUGGAAAGCUCAUCAAGUGACGGUAACUACACAGAAAGGGACGGCUAACUACGUG